GCUACAUUAACGCCAUCUUGCAGAGUUUGUUUGCACUGCGGCCCUUCUGCACCCAGCUGCUCCUGCAGGAGAAGACAUGGAGGCAGGAGCCCUCUGCACUGCUCCUCAGUUGCAUUGUGGGUAUCCAGUGCCUUAGAGGCUCCAGCGAGAGGGACCUGAAGGUGGCAGUGCUGAUGGAGCUGAAAGGUUGCAUCGCCCUGCGCAACCACGAGUUCCAGGGAGACUCACAGAACGAGUUCCUGUCAGAGUGUCUGCUGGGCCUCAGGGACAUUGGGCACGUCCUCCAGAUGGGGGGGACGUGUCCUAUCAAUACCCAGUGGACAGGACACUCAGCUCUCUCAAUUGCCUUUCACCCCCCAAAUCAGAGUGGAUGCCAAGACUAUUGGGGUUUACAGAUUAAAUUGAAUUUGGAAUAAGAAAUUAAGGCCUUAGCUUAAUU